rnacentral:rRNA from 1 species
AACGCUAGCUACAGGCUUAACACAUGCAAGUCGAGGGGCAUCAGGGUAGCAAUGCCGCUGGCGACCGGCGCACGGGUGAGUAACACGUAUCCAACCUACCGUUAACUCGGGGAUAGCCUUUCGAAAGAAAGAUUAAUACCCGAUAGUAUAUUUUCUUCGCAUGUUGAAAAUAUUAAAGAAUUUCGGUUAUCGAUGGGGAUGCGUUCCAUUAGGCAGUUGGCGGGGUAACGGCCCACCAAACCUACGAUGGAUAGGGGUUCUGAGAGGAAGGUCCCCCACAUUGGAACUGAGACACGGUCCAAACUCCUACGGGAGGCAGCAGUGAGGAAUAUUGGUCAAUGGACGAAGGUCUGAACCAGCCAAGUAGCGUGAAGGAUGACUGCCCUAUGGGUUGUAAACUUCUUUUAUAUGGGAAUAAAGUUCUCCACGUGUGGAGUUUUGUAUGUACCAUUAUGAAUAAGCAUCGGCUAACUCCGUGCCAGCAGCCGCGGUAAUACGGAGGAUGCGAGCGUUAUCCGGAUUUAUUGGGUUUAAAGGGAGCGUAGGUGGACUGGUAAGUCAGUUGUGAAAGUUUGCGGCUCAACCGUAAAAUUGCAGUUGAUACUGUCAGUCUUGAGUACAGUAGAGGUGGGCGGAAUUCGUGGUGUAGCGGUGAAAUGCUUAGAUAUCACGAAGAACUCCGAUUG